rnacentral:rRNA from 1 species
UACAGAGGGUGCGAGCGUUGUUCGGAAUUAUUGGGCGUAAAGGGCGCGUAGGCGGUGCGGUAAGUCACCUGUGAAAUCUCCUGGCUCAACUGGGAGCUUGCAGGCGAAACUGCCGUGCUGGAGUGUGGGAGAGGUGCGUGGAAUUCCUGGUGUAGCGGUGAAAUGCGUAGAUAUCAAGAGGAACACCAGUGGCGAAGGCGGCUCACUGGCCCGGUACUGACGCUGAGGUGCGAAAGCGUGGGGAGCAAACAGG